rnacentral:rRNA from 1 species
GACGAACGCUGGCGGCGUGGAUUAGGCAUGCAAGUCGAACGGUAUCAUCCUUUCGGGGGUGAGAGAGUGGCGAACUGGUGAGUAACACGUAGGUUAUCUACCCUCAAGACGGGGACAACCCAGGGAAACUUGGGCUAAUACCGGAUGUGAGCAACUUUUAGUUGUUUGAAAGGUGGCGUAAGCUGUCGCUUGGGGAUGAGCCUGCGUCCUAUUAGUUAGUUGGUGAGGUAACGGCUCACCUAGGCAAUGAUAGGUAGGCGGCCUUAACGGGUGGUCGCCCACACUGGGAUUGAGAUACGGCCCAGACUCCUACGGGAGGCAGCAGUCGAGAAUAGUCUACAAUGGCCGGAAGGCUGAUAGUGCGACGCCGCGUGAACGAGGGAGCCCUUCGGGUGUAAAGUUCUUUUCUAUACGAGCAGUGCUAUAUAUAUGGAUAGUAUAUAUAGAGGGAUAGUAGUAUAGGAAUAAGCAACGGCUAACUCCGUG